UACGGAGGGGGCUAGCGUUGUUCGGAUUUACUGGGCGUAAAGCGCGCGCAGGCGGCUUGUUAAGCCAGGGGUGAAAUCCCGGAGCUUAACUCCGGAACUGCCUUUGAAACUGGAGACCUGGAGCAAGAGAGAGGCGAGUGGAAUUCCCAGUGUAGAGGUGAAAUUCGUAGAUAUUGGGAAGAACACCAGUGGCGAAGGCGACUCGCUGGACCGUUUCUGACGCUCAGGAACGAAAGCGUGGGGAGCAAACAGG
rnacentral:rRNA from 1 species